AAAGACUUAGUCCCAACCUUACCGUUAAUUCUUGCCCAAUAUAUACAUGCAAGUAUCCGCACCCCAGUGCAAACGCCCCUAACCCCUUACCAAGACAAAAGGAGCAGGCAUCAGGCACACAUCAACGUAGCCCAAGACGCCACGCCCAGCCACACCCCCACGGGUACUCAGCAGUAAUUAACAUUAAGCAAUAGGCGUAAGCCUGACUUAGUUAGAGCAACCAGGGUCGGUAAAUCUUGUGCCAGCCACCGCGGUCAUACAAGAGACCCAAAUUAACCGUAAACGGCGUAAAGAGUGGACCCAAAAAAUAUCUAAACCAAUUAAGACCAAACCACCACAACACAGCUGUCACAAGCUCAAAGCACAUCAAAGCCCAACCUAAAAACGAUCUUAACACCUAAGACUUACCCACCCCACGAAAGCCAGGGCACAAACUGGGAUUAGAUACCCCACUAUGCCUAGCCCUAAAUCUUGAUGUUUCCAACACAAAAACAUCCGCCUGAGAACUACGAGCACAAACGCUUAAAACUCUAAGGACUUGGCGGUGCCCUAAACCCACCUAGAGGAGCCUGUUCUAUAAUCGAUAAUCCACGAUACACCCGACCACUUCUCGCCAAAGCAGCCUACAUACCGCCGUCACCAGCCCACCUCCUUGAGAGUACAACAGUGAGCCCAACAGCCACUAUCCGCUAACAAGACAGGUCAAGGUAUAGCCUAUGAAGUGGAAGAAAUGGGCUACAUUUUCUAAAAUAGAUAAACUCCACGAAAAGGGGCCUGAAAUCUGCCCCUAGAAGGCGGAUUUAGCAGUAAAGAGAGACAAUCAAGCCCUCCUUAAGCUGGUCCUAGGGCACGUACACACCGCCCGUCACCCUCUUCAUAAGCCCCCAACACCCUAACUAACACAAUCACCACAGCUAAAGACGAGGU
rnacentral:ncRNA from 1 species